rnacentral:rRNA from 1 species
GACAGAGGGUGCAAACGUUGUUCGGAAUUACUGGGCGUAAAGCGCGUGUAGGCGGCUCGGCAAGUCGGGUGUGAAAGCCCUGGGCUUAACCUAGGAAGUGCACUCGAAACUGCCAAGCUUGAGUUCUGGAGAGGAAGGCGGAAUUCUCGGUGUAGAGGUGAAAUUCGUAGAUAUCGAGAGGAACACCGGUGGCGAAGGCGGCCUUCUGGACAGCAACUGACGCUGAGACGCGAAGCGUGGAGCAACAG